AUACGGAGGGUGCGAGCGUUGUCCGGAAUCACUGGGCGUAAAGGGCGCGUAGGCGGCCUGAUAAGUAGGGGGUGAAAUCUUGCGGCUCAACCGCAAGGCUGCCUUCUAAACUGUCAGGCUAGAGCACAGUAGAGGCAGGUGGAAUUCCCGGUGUAGCGGUGGAAUGCGUAGAGAUCGGGAAGAACAUCAGUGGCGAAGGCGGCCUGCUGGGCUGUUGCUGACGCUGAGGCGCGACAGCGUGGGGAGCAAACA
rnacentral:rRNA from 1 species